rnacentral:misc_RNA from 1 species
AAGUCGUAACAAGGUUUCCGUAGGUGAACCUGCGGAAGGAUCAUUAACACGUAUCCACGUUAUCAAACCAAUGAGAACCGUUUUCCCGUCUCCCUGCUGCAUGAAAUGAAUUGGAACCAGUUUGAGGGGGUGAUGGGACCGAUAAGGUCGACCUUCCUGGCACACUGAUGUUUUCAUUCGUUUAUUCGGAUGGACAUCGACAAUUGUAUUUGUGUUCUGCAGGCUAAUUCUUUAUCGCUUUGAUCCCCUCACGAUCGUGGCGGUAGGGAAGCCCUUUAAAACUACAUUUACCCCCUUUUUGCUAGUUGACUUUUUAUAUGUGUUGUUGGUUUCGAUUGCUUCAUUGCAACGGCUCUCGGCACACGUUUAUUAAUUGAACGUUAAAAAAUACAACUCUUAGCAAUGGAUAUCUUGGUUCUC